rnacentral:rRNA from 1 species
AGAACGAACGCUGGCGGCGCGUUUAAGCAUGCAAGUCGAGCGGCAAGGGCCUUCGGGCCCCUAGAGCGGCGGACGGGUGAGUAACACGUGGACAAUCUGCCCCCCGGCCCGGGAUAGCCCAGGGAAACCUGGAUUAAUACCGGAUGAGACGGGACCCGCGAUGGCGGGAUCCGGGAAAGGCGCUGCGGCGCCGCCGGGGGAUGAGUCUGCGUCCCAUUAGCUAGACGGCGGGGUAAUGGCCCACCGUGGCGACGAUGGGUAGCCGGCCUGAGAGGGUGGACGGCCACAUUGGAACUGAGACACGGUCCAGACUCCUACGGGAGGCAGCAGCUAAGAAUCUUCCGCAAUGGGCGAAAGCCUGACGGAGCGACGCCCGCGUGAACGAAGAAGGCCGUGAGGUUGUAAAGUUCUUUUCGGGAGGGGGAACAACCGUGGCAGGGAAUGGCCGCGGGAUGACGUGAAUCCCGGAAUAGGCCCCGGCUAACUACGUGCCAGCAGCGGC